rnacentral:misc_RNA from 1 species
GAUGAAGAACGCAGCGAAAUGCGAUAAGUAAUGUGAAUUGCAGAAUUCAGUGAAUCAUCGAAUCUUUGAACGAACAUUGCGCCCGCCAGUAUUCUGGCGGGCAUGCCUGUUCGAGCGUCAUUUCAACCAUCAAGCCCCCGGCUUGUGUUGGGGACCUGCGGCUGCCGCAGGCCCUGAAAAGCAGUGGCGGGCUCGCUGUCACACCGAGCGUAGUAGCAUACAUCUCGCUCUGGGCGUGCUGCGGGUUCCGGCCGUUAAACCACCUUCAUAACCCAAGGUUGACCUCGGAUCAGGUAGGAAGACCCGCUGAACUUAAGCAUAUCAAUAAGCGGAGGA